ACGGUAAGGCCCCUUCGGGGGUACACGAGUGGCGAACGGGUGAGUAACACGUGGGUAAUCUGCCCUGCACUUCGGGAUAAGCCUGGGAAACCGGGUCUAAUACCGGAUAUGAGCUCCUGCCGCAUGGUGGGGGUUGGAAAGUUUUUCGGUGCAGGAUGAGUCCGCGGCCUAUCAGCUUGUUGGUGGGGUAAUGGCCUACCAAGGCGACGACGGGUAGCCGGCCUGAGAGGGUGAUCGGCCACACUGGGACUGAGACACGGCCCAGACUCCUACGGGAGGCAGCAGUGGGGAAUAUUGCACAAUGGGCGAAAGCCUGAUGCAGCGACGCCGCGUGGGGGAUGACGGUCUUCGGAUUGUAAACUCCUUUCAGUAGGGACGAAGCGAAAGUGACGGUACCUGCAGAAGAAGCACCGGCCAACUACGUGCCAGCAGCCGCGGUAAUACGUAGGGUGCAAGCGUUGUCCGGAAUUACUGGGCGUAAAGAGCUCGUAGGCGGUUUGUCACGUCGUCUGUGAAAUCCUCCAGCUCAACUGGGGGCGUGCAGGCGAUACCGGCAGACUUGAGUACUACAGGGGAGACUGGAAUUCCUGGUGGUGCGGUGAAAUGC
rnacentral:rRNA from 1 species